AAUCAACGCUGGCGGCGUGCCUAACACAUGCAAGUCGAACGGGAAAACAGGGGCAACUCUGUGAGUACAGUGGCGUACGGGUGAGUAACACGUGACUAACCUGCCCUUCGGUGGGGGAUAACCUCGGGAAACCGGGGCUAAUACCGCAUAACAUCUCCGGGAUGAGAAGCCGGAGAUCAAAGGAGCAAUUCGCGGAAGGAGGGGGUCGCGGCUGAUUAGCUAGUUGGCGGGGUAACGGCCCACCAAGGCGAUGAUCGGUAGCCGGCCUGAGAGGGCGCACGGCCACACUGGAACUGAAACACGGUCCAGACUCCUACGGGAGGCAGCAGUGGGGAAUUUUGCGCAAUGGGGGAAACCCUGACGCAGCAACGCCGCGUGGAGGAUGAAGUCCCUUGGGACGUAAACUCCUUUCGACCGGGACGAUAAUGACGGUACCGGUGGAAGAAGCCCCGGCUAACUUCGUGCCAGCAGCCGCAGUAAUAC
rnacentral:rRNA from 1 species